rnacentral:rRNA from 1 species
AGCGGCAGGCCUAACACAUGCAAGUCGAACGGUAACAGGGAUUGCUUGCAAUCCGCUGACGAGUGGCGCACGGGUGCGUAACGCGUAUGCAAUCUGCCUAUAACUGAGGAAUAGCCCAGAGAAAUUUGGAUUAAUACCUCAUAACAUUGUUUUUUGGCAUCAUUAAACAAUUAAAACUUCGGUGGUUAUAGAUGAGCAUGCGUCCUAUUAGCUUGUUGGUAAGGUAACGGCUUACCAAGGCAACGAUAGGUAGGGGGCCUGAAAGGGUGAUCCCCCACACUGGUACUGAGACACGGACCAGACUCCUACGGGAGGCAGCAGUGAGGAAUAUUGCGCAAUGGAGGAAACUCUGACGCAGCCAUGCCGCGUGCAGGAAGACGGCCCUACGGGUUGUAAACUGCUUUUAUAUAGGAAGAAACCCCGAUACGUGUAUCGGCUUGACGGUACUAUAUGAAUAAGGACCGGCUAACUCCGUGCCAGCAGCCGCGGUAAUACGGAGGGUCCAAGCGUUAUCCGGAUUUAUUAGGUUUAAAGGGUCCGCAGGCGGGAUUUUAAGUCAGUGGUGAAAGCCUACAGCUCAACUGUAGAACUGCCAUUGAUACUGAUAUCCUUGAGUGUGGUUGAAGUGGGCGGAACAUGUCAUGUAGCGGUGAAAUGCAUAGAUAUGACAUAGAACACCAAUUGCGAAGGCAGCUCACUAAGCCAUUACUGACGCUGAGGGACGAAAGCGUGGGGAGCGAACAGGAUUAGAUACCCUGGUAGUCCACGCCGUAAACGAUGAUCACUCGUUGCUAGCGAUAAACUGUUAGUGACCAAGCGAAAGUGUUAAGUGAUCCACCUGGGAAGUAC